UGGGCUAGUACAGUGCUGGAGCUCAGCAACGAUGCGUCGUGUCUUGCUUUCCGUCGCGUUCUUAGCAGCAGUUGCGUGGCUUCAGCCAGCUGAGGCCUCGCCGCCAGUGCAAUGUCUGGCCAUCGGCUGUAUCUGCGAGGGCUGUCCUUAUGGUCGCAAGUGCACCUUCUGUCCGAACCUGGGCCAGUCUUGCUGCGUGCCUAUAGGCACCUCUCAGUACCAGCUAAACUAUGCCUGUCUACAGGCACCUGACUGCCAGAGACAGUACCCUGGACGCUGAGCUGAGAACCGAGGGUCACCGAGUGGCGGAGAUCAGAGUGAAGACGGGUGUGGAGAUGGGGGAAAGGUGUUGGGGUUUGUUGACCGCCUGUCUCUAAAAAAGGGGAAGUGUGGAAAUGUGGUGACCAAAGGUGAUCAAGUAUUUAAAGUGGCAUUUGCAGCACACUCAUGUCUAUUAAUGUCAAGCAUCGUUUUUACGUGAAUGUAUUGAUAACUGAAAAGUCGAGUAUUUUUAUUCAUAUUUUUGAUGAUCAUUGCAUGUAUGUUUAUGCAGCUGUGUAUGGACGACUGCAUGGAUGUGAACACUCUUUCACUAUCCUAUGCUGGUUUUUCACGAGGUAUCAGAUCAAGGCAGUCAUUUGUGAGAUAAAUCUGAGAAAGAAGCAAAUUUCAAAUGAUACCGACUUACGUUUCCUCUCCUAGAAACGGCUGAUUCGCGUCGCUGCCUUAUGUCUUAUGUCACAGUAUCAAAUAAAACUUAAGUAUGCAGAAAA